GGUUAAGCGACUAAGCGUACACGGUGGAUGCCCUGGCAGUCAGAGGCGAUGAAGGACGUGCUAAUCUGCGAUAAGCGUCGGUAAGGUGAUAUGAACCGUUAUAACCGGCGAUUUCCGAAUGGGGAAACCCAGUGUGUUUCGACACACUAUCAUUAACUGAAUCCAUAGGUUAAUGAGGCGAACCGGGGGAACUGAAACAUCUAAGUACCCCGAGGAAAAGAAAUCAACCGAGAUUCCCCCAGUAGCGGCGAGCGAACGGGGAGCAGCCCAGAGCCUGAAUCAGUGUGUGUGUUAGUGGAAGCGUCUGGAAAGGCGCGCGAUACAGGGUGACAGCCCCGUACACAAAAAUGCACAUAUUGUGAGCUCGAUGAGUAGGGCGGGACACGUGGUAUCCUGUCUGAAUAUGGGGGGACCAUCCUCCAAGGCUAAAUACUCCUGACUGACCGAUAGUGAACCAGUACCGUGAGGGAAAGGCGAAAAGAACCCCGGCGAGGGGAGUGAAAAAGAACCUGAAACCGUGUACGUACAAGCAGUGGGAGCCUCUUUUAUGGGGUGACUGCGUACCUUUUGUAUAAUGGGUCAGCGACUUAUAUUCUGUAGCAAGGUUAACCGAAUAGGGGAGCCGAAGGGAAACCGAGUCUUAACUGGGCGUUAAGUUGCAGGGUAUAGACCCGAAACCCGGUGAUCUAGCCAUGGGCAGGUUGAAGGUUGGGUAACACUAACUGGAGGACCGAACCGACUAAUGUUGAAAAAUUAGCGGAUGACUUGUGGCUGGGGGUGAAAGGCCAAUCAAACCGGGAGAUAGCUGGUUCUCCCCGAAAGCUAUUUAGGUAGCGCCUCGUGAAUUCAUCUCCGGGGGUAGAGCACUGUUUCGGCAAGGGGGUCAUCCCGACUUACCAACCCGAUGCAAACUGCGAAUACCGGAGAAUGUUAUCACGGGAGACACACGGCGGGUGCUAACGUCCGUCGUGAAGAGGGAAACAACCCAGACCGCCAGCUAAGGUCCCAAAGUCAUGGUUAAGUGGGAAACGAUGUGGGAAGGCCCAGACAGCCAGGAUGUUGGCUUAGAAGCAGCCAUCAUUUAAAGAAAGCGUAAUAGCUCACUGGUCGAGUCGGCCUGCGCGGAAGAUGUAACGGGGCUAAACCAUGCACCGAAGCUGCGGCAGCGACACUAUGUGUUGUUGGGUAGGGGAGCGUUCUGUAAGCCUGUGAAGGUGUGCUGUGAGGCAUGCUGGAGGUAUCAGAAGUGCGAAUGCUGACAUAAGUAACGAUAAAGCGGGUGAAAAGCCCGCUCGCCGGAAGACCAAGGGUUCCUGUCCAACGUUAAUCGGGGCAGGGUGAGUCGACCCCUAAGGCGAGGCCGAAAGGCGUAGUCGAUGGGAAACAGGUUAAUAUUCCUGUACUUGGUGUUACUGCGAAGGGGGGACGGAGAAGGCUAUGUUGGCCGGGCGACGGUUGUCCCGGUUUAAGCGUGUAGGCUGGUUUUCCAGGCAAAUCCGGAAAGUCAAGGCUGAGGCGUGAUGACGAGGCACUACGGUGCUGAAGCAACAAAUGCCCUGCUUCCAGGAAAAGCCUCUAAGCAUCAGGUAACAUCAAAUCGUACCCCAAACCGACACAGGUGGUCAGGUAGAGAAUACCAAGGCGCUUGAGAGAACUCGGGUGAAGGAACUAGGCAAAAUGGUGCCGUAACUUCGGGAGAAGGCACGCUGAUAUGUAGGUGAAGCGACUUGCUCGUG
rnacentral:rRNA from 1 species